ensembl:miRNA
UGAGAGGGCGCGCCUUGCCUCGUUGCCCGGGCAGUGCACCCGUGGGCCCCAGGGCGACGCGGCGGGGGCGGCCCUUGCGA